GCGGAAAUGGCUCAAUGGUAGAGCGCGACCUUGCCAAGGUCGAUGUUGCGGGUUCGAUUCCCGUUUUCCGCUCUA
rnacentral:tRNA from 1 species